rnacentral:rRNA from 1 species
AGCUUGCUCCGCUGACGAGUGGCGAACGGGUGAGUAAUAUAUCGGAACGUACCCAAGAGUGGGGGAUAACGUAGCGAAAGUUACGCUAAUACCGCAUACGAUCUAUGGAUGAAAGCAGGGGACCUUCGGGCCUUGUGCUCCUGGAGCGGCCGAUAUCUGAUUAGCUAGUUGGUGAGGUAAAGGCUCACCAAGGCGACGAUCAGUAGCUGGUCUGAGAGGACGACCAGCCACACUGGAACUGAGACACGGUCCAGACUCCUACGGGAGGCAGCAGUGGGGAAUUUUGGACAAUGGGCGCAAGCCUGAUCCAGCAAUGCCGCGUGAGUGAAGAAGGCCUUCGGGUUGUAAAGCUCUUUUGUCAGGGAAGAAACGGCUGUGGCUAAUAUCCACGGCUAAUGACGGUACCUGAAGAAUAAGCACCGGCUAACUACGUGCCAGCAGCCGCGGUAAUACGUAGGGUGCAAGCGUUAAUCGGAAUUACUGGGCGUAAAGCGUGCGCAGGCGGUUUUGUAAGUCUGUCGUGAAAUCCCCGGGCUCAACCUGGGAAUUGCGAUGGAGACUGCAAGGCUAGAAUCUGGCAGAGGGGGGUAGAAUUCCACGUGUAGCAGUGAAAUGCGUAGAGAUGUGGAGGAACACCGAUGGCGAAGGCAGCCCCCUGGGUCAAGAUUGACGCUCAUGCACGAAAGCGUGGGGAGCAAACAGGAUUAGAUACCCUGGUAGUCCACGCCCUAAACGAUGUCUACUAGUUGUCGGGUUUUAAUUAACUUGGUAACGCAGCUAACGCGUGAAGUAGACCGCCUGGGGAGUACGGUCGCAAGAUUAAAACUCAAAGGAAUUGACGGGGACCCGCACAAGCGGUGGAUGAUGUGGAUUAAUUCGAUGCAACGCGAAAAACCUUACCUACCCUUGACAUGUCAGGAAGGCCGGAGAGAUCUGGUUGUGCCCGAAAGGGAACCUGAACACAGGUGCUGCAUGGCUGUCGUCAGCUCGUGUCGUGAGAUGUUGGGUUAAGUCCCGCAACGAGCGCAACCCUUGUCAUUAGUUGCUACGCAAGAGCACUCUAAUGAGACUGCCGGUGACAAACCGGAGGAAGGUGGGGAUGACGUCAAGUCCUCAUGGCCCUUAUGGGUAGGGCUUCACACGUCAUACAAUGGUACAUACAGAGGGCCGCCAACCCGCGAGGGGGAGCUAAUCCCAGAAAGUGUAUCGUA